UCGAGGAUCUUCGGCAAUGGGCGCAAGCCUGACCGAGCGACGCCGCGUGUGCGAUGAAGGCCUUCGGGUUGUAAAGCACUGUCGAGGGGGAGGAAGCCGCAAGGUUGACCUAUCCCUGGAGGAAGGACGGGCUAAGUUCGUGCCAGCAGCCGCGGUAAGACGAACCGUCCUAACGUUGUUCGGAAUCACUGGGCUUAAAGGGCGCGUAGGCGGGCAUGCAAGUCCGGGGUGAAAGCUUUCGGCUUAACCGGAAAAGGGCCUUGGAUACUGCAUGUCUAGAGGGAGGUAGGGGUCUGUGGAACUUCGGGUGGAGCGGUGAAAUGCGUUGAUAUCCGAAGGAACGCCGGUGGCGAAAGCGACGGACUGGACCUCUUCUGACGCUGAGGCGCGAAAGCCAGGGGAGCAAACGGGAUUAGAUACCCCUGUAGUCC
rnacentral:rRNA from 1 species